rnacentral:misc_RNA from 1 species
AGAUAGCAAGGGUGCUUGAGGCAUUUUCAGAGAGAUACUAUGAGCAAUCUCCACAGAUUCUAGCUAAUAAAGAUGCUGCUCUGUUGUUAUCAUAUUCAAUAAUAAUGCUCAACACUGACCAGCAUAAUGUUCAGGUAAAGAAGAAGAUGACAGAGGAGGAUUUCAUCCGUAACAAUCGGCACAUUAACGGAGGUAAUGAUCUUCCUCGUGAUUUUCUA